UUGCACUGUACGUAACCUGGUUCACCAGUCAGUAUGAACCCUGGGUUCCAUUCCAGUGCUACAGUAAGAACCAGGGAAGGCAGGGAAGUGGCACGUUUUGUGCCUUUGUCCUUGUUCGUUCUUUGGGAACAUUG